rnacentral:rRNA from 1 species
UGGGGAAUAUUGCACAAUGGGCGAAAGCCUGAUGCAGCAACGCCGCGUGAGUGAUGAAGGUCUUCGGAUUGUAAAGCUCUGAUCUUUUGGGACGAUAAUGACGGUACCAAAGGAGGAAGCCACGGCUAACUACGUGCCAGCAGCCGCGGUAAUACGUAGGUGGCGAGCGUUGUCCGGAUUUACUGGGCGUAAAGGGUGCGUAGGCGGAUGUUUAAGUGAGAUGUGAAAUACCCGGGCUUAACUUGGGUGCUGCAUUUCAAACUGGAUAUCUAGAGUGCAGGAGAGGAGAAUGGAAUUCCUAGUGUAGCGGUGAAAUGCGUAGAGAUUAGGAAGAACACCAGUGGCGAAGGCGAUUCUCUGGACUGUAACUGACGCUGAGGCACGAAAGCGUGGGUAGCAAACAGGAUUAGAUACCCUGGUAGUCCACGCCGUAAACGAUGAGUACUAGGUGUAGGAGGUAUCGA